GCCGGCUGAUGGAGCUUUUAAUUGGGGGCGGGAGGGGGGGGAGUGGGAGGGAAAGGAAAGGAAGGUCCUCUGGAAAUAUCUUCCGGGAUUAGAACGAGGAGCGCUGGACUCCUAUCUCGAUGCGGCCCUGUAGGAAAGCGCUGCGGGGACCGCGAAAAAGCUGCUCGGAAGGACCCACGGGGCUGAAAACGGGGAUUGGAAAAGAAAAAAAAAAAAAGUAGAUGGUGUGUGUGACAAAAAAAGCUGGGUGAUUCUGUUUUCUCAUGCCCUCGCUCCUCCACCAGCUGCACAGCCAAGCGCAGGCUGCUUGGCCCUUAUAACUAUCUUGGCACGGAGUCAAAAGCUGAUAAGCAUUUGGGCGAGACAGCUCAACUGCUGUGCUGGAAGAAAAACAGCUGCCAUGAUUUCUGUUUGAUUGAGAGCGCUUACACACACGCACAAAAAACACAUCGGGCUGCAGAGACGGGCCACGAAUGCCUGAGGAUUCAGCUUCAGAAGAGCAAUGCACGUUUCCUUAAGGGAAAGAAAAAAAAAAAAGUUUUAUGCAGUUUUGCCUCCGUUCCUCCUCCCCUUUUUAAGGAAAAUGUACUGCGUAGACUCGCUCCUCUCCUUCCCAUCCCCCUCCAUAACCUCAAGCAAACUCGAGGAAUUGUGCCAAAAGUCCCGUUGCUAGUUACUGAGUGCGUUUUUUUCAAACGUCCCUUUGAUACUUCUUCCCCUUGUGCUUGCCAUGGAAUAUGCAACUCUGUAAGAAUGUCACACAAGAGGCAGCGCUAUCCCAGCUGGAUAAUUCAUGAGCCGAAAGCAGAGAACGCCAUUUUGAGGCUGUCACACAUUUCUGUGUCCAAAGUGGAUAACGCCUGCGGAAAGCAUAAGAAUGAUAUUCUCAUGCUGCAGAAAAAGUAGGAAGAGAGGGAAAGAGACUAUCAUCAGGAAAACUGAAAGGAAGAUGCCUCUGUAGCAUGCACAUGCCGCCAGGAAGCAUGAGGUUUAGCCCAGAGGGCUGACAAAAUAAAAGAAACUUCCAGACUACGUGUUGGCAUCAAAUGGGUGACAUGCCCACUGCAGGUAGGUGAAUGACUGGCACUCAGGACAACUCCCUGCAUUUCUCACCUCUCCACUUCUUUGUCUAGAAUGUAUGAAACUAAUCACACAGUUUCCAGUGACUGCUAUUCCUCAAAAUCUAGAAGAAAAAUAUUGGGCUUUUUAAUGCACCAAGGGUCAAAGAAAGAACACUGGAGUUGGAAAGUACUGACAGACAACUAAGUUUAAAAAAG
ensembl:lncRNA